UUUGAUCGCUCAAGUCGGAGUUGGAUUCGAGUUGCGUUGGGUAUGGUAUCACACUCAUACUCAUACCAAACGCAAUCCCAACCGCUGACUACCGUUGAAUGACUAGACGCAAAAACGUAAAAGUAAAAAUGUUUUGAUCGCGCGCUCUGACGGACGUCACCUCCUCGUCCGCCGUCACUCGCCUUAAAAAAAGAAACAACAGCAGGGCGAAACGGACAAGUGCGCGUCCACAUUUUCGGUCCGUUGCAAGCUCCCGCGUGCCGCCUCGAAGUGCCCAAAUUAAUCCCGAUGAAGCUCCAGAAACCAAGAAGACUCGGUACGCUCACACCAACACAACACCUAACGAAUUCUAAUUUGUAUGCGUCCGUGUGCGAGUGAAGAAGCUAAAGCUAUCGAGGAAUUUAACAUUUAACACCUUGGCCAGGCCGUGCCCACGCGUGUUUCACACAUUUCAGCCGACCUUUUCCCGUGAAUUCGCGCGAGUCCGGAAUUAGACAGUGGCAACACGUGGACGUAAAAGGCCAUGACUCAGAGCAUUACCAGCACCAGCUAAUUGUCAAAUUUUCCAAAAUUGAUAAAGACAAAAAAUACCACAAAUCCACAAGCCAUUCCCCCCAAUGUGUUAAUGAAAGCAAUAGUCGACGGAAAUAAAACUUCGUGUCACGAUUUUAUAAUCACCGAAACAUCUCAACAGGAACAGGCAUAGGAAAGCGGGUUUCCAGAACGAUUCCAGCUGAAAUACCCGCCGAAGAGGAGUGAGCGAGAGGCAUAAUAACUGAGUAUUUCUUUUCUUCAUUAUUUCCAAGCCCGAACCGAAGAAGCAGAGAGAACCGUUACGAUGGCGACAAAAAUGUGGUCACAAUUGCAAUCAAAGCAAAGACACACGUAAACGUAACGGCGAGCAGCGGGCAGCAGUCAGCAGGCAGCGCUGCUUCAAACAUGUUGCAUGCAACCAAUCUGCGCGAUCGGCUCGAAGAUCGCAGCCAUGCCGAACCAUGCCGUCGCUGCCAGCUUUCACUUCGUUUUUACAAUUUUUCAAUUCGUUUUUGGCGCUUUUCACUUCGUUUUUGACGCCCGAUCCCAACGGUUCUUGGGGCUUGGGGUUCUUCAUAAGUGCUCUUGCACAUCGUGGACGGCCUGUACCUACAUGUGUAGAUAUUUGUGUGUUUGCCGCGCGGGCGUUAUUGUGCAUAUUUCCGGUGGCCGAAAAAUAAGAGGAAUAACAGCUAUACGAUAAAGCUAUACAUUUCCAACAAAUCGCUCACAAACACUCGCAUCUCCCAUGUUCUGUGUGUUCGUUGCGUGUGUGUGUGUGUGUAUAGUUGAUCCACUCGUAAAAAUAAUAAUAAUUGCAUUUAUCGGGUGUCCGACCGGCGCCAGCUUCAAUUUAAUUAUAAAUAACAUCAACUAAACUAAAUAGCGCCAUCGCUUCCACGCUCUUUCGAGAUCAGUUCCAGUCGGCAAUACCAGAUGUACAACACACAUGCACGUGUGAACAUGUGUGUGUACACAUAGUUCUGUAUACUUUCCAACGUUUUUGCUUGAAAGAGUCCAAGUAGGCGUUGAGGCAAACCUCGUCCCUCUUCGCGCUCAGCCUCCUACCGUAUCGUCUGGUCUCGUCUCUCAGGGAGCAUCACGCGCGCCGGUACAAAGUUAAAGUUUACUUACACACACGCGAGAACAACCUUCGUAGUACUUAACGGAUCCCGUUUGUCAACCCACUUUUGAGCCAAGGGAAAAAUCAAUACAUUUCGAGGCCCCCUUGCUUUGGCGCAGACCCAGACACCACCGAAGAUAAUCCCAACCCAGCCAAAAACUUAAACCGAUUCUAAAAAAAAAACAUUCGAAGAGAAUGAAAUACAUUACUUCUUAUCGGGGAACUGGGGACAAUGUUCCAAGGUUUUCGAAAACUGAGAACUUUGAGCCGGCGCACACUCGAUAAUAAUUAACAAGAAUUCUCGGCAAUAAAUAUGUACAUAAAAGAAGAAAAUACUAAAAAUAACAAAAGAGGGAAACACAGUGCGGUGACGAAAACACGUUUUGCUAUUCGCAAGGACAUCUGUUCACAUCUUACCGGGCAGCAUUAGAUCCUUUAGAUACCUCUAAUACUGUCAGGUAAAGAUGUCGUCCGUGUCCUUAUCCAUCAUAAAUCCCAAGAACAGCAAACAAGGCGUAAAAAACUAGUUUUUCAAUUGUGCGUGUAGAAGCCCGAAAAAGAGAUCACAUCACAGCGGAAGGAAGGAAGGAGAACACGACGGGCCACAAAGAGAGAGAGAGAGAGAGAGCUGCUGGAUGUCGAUGUGGAUAAAUGAACAGGCAGCAGAGAAAUGGUCAUAAUUUUUUUUUUUGCAGCAUCAGCAACGACAAGACGCGACGCGACGCGUUUUGGGAUGACAUCAGUAAGAGACAGAAAAAAAGAGAGGGAGAGAGGGAGAAAUACAUAUCUGUACUCGGCCCCUCUUCUGUUCGACGGUCGACCGGCGCCGCCCAUGGGAGAGUGGUGGGGAGAGGAGAGUGUGUGUGCAGGUAAACCUUAUAGAAAGAAGACAACGUGGUCGGAGGAGCGGGCAGAAGAGGGACCAAUAAAAAAUAUAUUUUAUGGUUCCGCUUCUUUUUUCGUUUUGCGUUUCGUUUCUUAAUUUCUUCUUUUCAGCAUUUUAGUGACAAAAAUUCACUUUUUAUGAUGCCAUUUCCCUCUUUUACCCCUCCCUACCUACUCCGCGAUUUACGAUUAUAGCUAACUAUCCGAAGCAUCAGGUUGGGUUUCAUUUUUUUCCUGUCUACGUAAAAUGUUCAUAAUCCGAAAUUAUAGAAAUGUGAAACCAGAAACUGAAUUAAAUGCUUACAAAUUGCAGAAGCGUGAUCAAAUCGAAAGAGAAAAGCACGGCUUGUAGGGAUAUUUCAUUGGGCUAUGGUCGCCGGAACUUUAGGAUAUGAUGUGCCAAUCGGUCGUACCUGUUCAGAGCACCGUGCAGAUGGCAUUAUGUGUACCAUAAAUAUAGCAGCUGCAAGUAGCGCAGAGCAAUCACUGCAAAGCAGCUGCCCUGCCUCGUUUAGCAAGUGCUGAUCGAUUUCCCUUUUGUGCUGGCAUUCUUCCGUUCGUUGCAAUUCUCUGCAUUCGAUUCACGCCUUUGCUGAUAAGCUACAGCAUUGGAGGCUGAUCUCGCCCCGAGACCUGCACUAUCUCUUCGCUUCUCUUCUAGUCGGCUGCCUAUCCUACACAUUUCACUGUGUGUGUUUGAGUGUGCGCUGUAAAGGCGAAAACAAAUACCGGUGCCGGCAAACACAACCGGGGCUAUUGUCAAGAGUGACCAGAGUAAUGUGGCUAUGGGGUCUCUCAAGGAGGGGGGCGCAAUUUCGUAGGGGAGAUAUAUGACCCACAAACACACUCGUAAUGCACACCAAGGAACAGGGCUCGUAAAAGCGUUUAGAGGCUUUUAAAUUUUACAGUUUCUUGGCACAGUGGUACUCAUGUUUAAUGUACUUAGUGUUCCUUGGGUGCUUGGGUGCUUGGCUGGUUGGCGACGGUGGGGCCCCUGUGGUAAAAGGGGUUAAUCUAAUCAGGAAAACAAAAAAUGCGUUAGCUGCGGUCGUCUGGUGGAAAAGAUCUCCAAUGGCGGAACCGAACGAGACGAAACGACCAACGUAACCAGAACGAAUAUAACACCUGUUAAUGAACUUAGGAGCGACUCUAAUGAAAUACACAUACACACAUGUAUACCAAGGUCUGCCCCUCUGUAUUCCAAAAAACCCUUUUGGAGUUUUCCAAUUAAAGAUUCUAUAAAUCUACCGCCGCAGGUAUCCCCCUGAUAAUGCAUUCGAUUCAUUGCUGAUCUCCGACUUCGGUUUCUUAGAUCCCCUAAGAUUUCUAAGAUUGAAGCAUUUACAAAGAAUUUACUUUAACCUUGCGCAAGGUGACCGGCAAUGCAGACAACAUCUACAAAUAAUCAAUCUACCGUUGUUGUCACCCGACAGAGCCGCUGGCCAAGCCCUAAAAGACUCUUGGUAUUUCAUAAUUCGGUUGAGAAUAUUCCAAGCGGUCUAACGGUCAAACCAGCGGCAGAAAAAGGUGCCAAGUCAGCGCAAUCGUGCGACAAUUUCACAAGCAACAUUCAUCGGCCAAUCUGAAAAAUUAAAUCAGGCAAUACUCGAUAGGGCCGCACUUCAAGCCCGAGCACUAAGGCCGAGUGCUAAUCGAAAUUGUGACCAGAACACUUGUGGUAUCCACACACAUGGCCGCAUGAUAAUGCCACAUUCACACACCACAUCCCAAACCACUCUCCAGCUGAAAAACCAAUAACGAUCGAUUCAAAUGCAAACAAAGCCAAACAAUACCAACCGGCAAACCCAUUGACAGUCAAUUCCAUCGAUGGCUCGAGGGGAAAAUGUUGAAAUGAAUUUCAUAUCGCUGCAUAUCUCAAAUCUGACAUCUGAUUCUGCAACAGCAGCAUAGACACAGGCACUCGAACAGUCUGUAUAGAACAGGCUUUUGUAAAUUCUUGAGAACGAACCCUAUGUCUAUGACCAAUGGUCAAUCUUGGAAAUCCAUCGAUCGGUUCAAGGCAAUUCCACUAUCUUCGAGCAGGUGAAGCGUCGUCAGAGUUGAGAAGUCUAGUCCGAGUACGAGUACAUAUUGUACGAAUAUAUGCAGAGGACCAGUAUCUAAUCGGGGGUUGGGGCUAGAGUAUCUAAUCAUGGACGACGGACCGCAAGUGCGUGUAGAGAGUAUCUAAUCAUGUGUGUGUGUGUGUGUAUGUGUGUGUAAUUUUCUUUCUAAGACCAGGCGAAUGCGGAACCUGUACUAUAUUUCUCGGCGAUUAGAUCCAGCGAUUCCCGAGAAAAAAGAUUGUGCGAAAUAAGAGCAGAUCUAAUGGCUGGAAUACGGAAAUAAAGUAACUAAAUUCGAUAACUGACAAACUUAUAACUGUCUUAUGGCACAAUAACUCUCGUCUGUAUCGUAUCUGACAGUCACCCAAACGAAAAAUCUCCACUACCGUAUCUCGCCAGGCAACAGAAAAAGAUACUACGAGUACAGGGGCGCUGCCACUGAAAUGAGCCCCAAUCAAAAUAUUGAGCAUGAUUUAUAAAUGACGGACGGGGUGUAAUAUAAUAUGCCUUGACGUGUUAAUAGAGCGGACCCAAAAGGAAAACGAAGGAAAAGAAAAGAAAACACGAUGAACUGCCGCAGGGGAAAGUGGCAAAGGCGGAAAGGGGCAGUGAAUGUGAAUGGGCGUAAAUCAAUUAAAGGCUAACAAAGCAAUCAAGCUCCAGAUUCAUAUGGAACGGGUGAGGUGGCGGGAGUGGGUGCGGGAGCGGGAGCGGGGGCUUGUAGCGAGUCAUGCUCCGUCACUCCUUGAACGGAUUGUGUGUCACAGCAAGAGUUAAAUUGCCCCAAAAUGCAUUCGAUAGGCCCAGCCGGACUUCAACACUUCAUCACCAGCAGCGCAUUGGUUGUGUCCCCCUAAUGAACCAAACUUGUAAGACGAUUCCGAGAAGACUCCACUCUUGUCUUGGUUUGACUCUUUUUCUCUCGUUGUGCAUUAAUUAGUUAUACACUAAUUUCCAAUUCCGAUUUCAGGCAUGCAAAUGUUAAUUGACCACUUAAGUUAAAACUUCAUAAUGAUCGUUAAUAAUACCGAGCGAUCUCUCUGAAGGUAAAAAAACGAUAGGGCAAGCAGGAGCAGAAGGUUGAGCGAACGCCGACAAACUGUACAGGAACAGCUAAGUGGUGCAGAGAGUGAAGGGGAGACUAGACUGAUACAAAAACUGGAUGGGAAAGAAAUGCAAGCUCAUGGCUCAUAAUCAAGGGCCAUGAAAGCUGUUUCCUGCCCAAGCUGAUUGCAUUGAUUGCCCCCCAAACUGGAAUGGAAAUUGGACCAAACGGGGAAGGAGUCCGUCCGCCCGUCCGCCCGUCCGCCCGACCGCCUGUCCGAUUCUGACUCGUGCCGGAGCCACUACCCCAAAAGAAUGCACCAGGAGUUUCCCGGCCUAGCGAAACUAACACUGCUCUCACUCACUCUCUUGGCCACAGGUAAUUGAACGUUCUCCCCAUUCUCCCAUUCAGCGCAGCUACUGUGUGCAACCGUGGCUCCAUGACACGCCUGCUCUUUAGCGAUGGCCCUGGGAGGGGCCUAGGACUGGGCAAUGUGCAUCGCGUCGCAUCGCAUCGCAUCGUAUCGCAUCGUAUCGCAUGGCAUCGCUCCGCUGAUUCAGCAUCGUCGCUGGGGUGCAUCAAAUUAGCAUUGUUCCCAGAGUCAGUGAGCUUUUUGCCUGGGCACUCCGAGACUGUACUUCGAGGCAAGAAUAACCUUUAAUUGGAUUGAAGAAUUUGAAAUAAAUAUAAAAUGUUUGUCAUUCAUGAAA